AAUUUUCAAAUUUCGCGCACUCUCGUGACGCAAUUAGAUCCCCGGUCGUUUGACGGAAGUUGGCAGUAUAUUCGAAUACGAAGCACGCGGACGCGAAAUCCAAACGAUCCAAAAAGUGUGUUCUACUAUAUUUAUAAAACGCGAUCAUUGAAAAACAUUGAGCACGCUGCUUAAGAGGUUAGACUACCGUGAGUAUGCAGACAGAUUGAAAAUUCUUGCUUAAACGAUAGUUCGAAGCUUCUAUAUAAUUAAAUAUAGAAAGUUAAGAGAAACACUUUGACGAGACCGCAAUUUCGUAGACACUUGAAAAUUGCCCACUUUAUCGGACGGUUACAGUAGUCUAACCCUUUAAGGGGUUAAGAUUACGGAGAAAUUGACCCCGUUGCUAGAUCGGUGAACACGAUCGGUAUAUCAGACGCAAUUUAAGUGCCGUCCGUGGAGUUCGUGCGGUUCAACAGAUAAUCAAGAUCAUGAGAGAUUCGAUCCAGCAUACCGCUUGAUGUGGCCUCGCAAUUCGUGACCACGAUCUCCGGCGCUUUUUCUUCUCCGUCAGGUUGUUUGCGCUCCGUCGUGUUCGCUAUAUCGGGAAUAACAUUAACGUGUUCUCUAGUCUUCAGUUCGCUGGUAGGCAAUGUCUCAACGUCGUUCUUAACGGCCAAAGUAACGUCCGGCAUGCCGGUCAGACGAGACUCGACGUCGGCGCUGCACAAAACCUUCGCCGAGGCUUCCGGCGCGGGAUUGUGAGGUACGAAGAUCUGCUGGCUCUGCGGCUCGCCGCCGCGAUAUUUCCCAUAAUCCCGAAAGGUGCAGCACUCGCUGCCGCUGUAAGAUUCGCUCACGCAACGGGACGCACGCGGUGAGAACAUGGCGUCGAACGCAAUGGUCUCCUGGUACUUUCGCGGGCUGGUGCUGUAAUUUUCUAGAUUUAUGUCGUCGGAAUGGUCGAUGUGUAUCUCCGGCAAAAACCGGUUAGCGACAGGGACGGAAGGUUUCGAGUACGAGGACGACGUCUCGUUCACGAACUCGCGCAUGUCUAUGCUACCAGCUGCGAUUCCUCGAGCUUCUAUGUAGGACUCUCCCAAGCCCAAGGACGACGGAGGGGGCGCCGUGUCGUUCUCCACCUCUGCGGCGCUCUUUGAGCACACUGGCCAAAGUUCAAACAAAUUUCAUCUCUAAUAAGAUAUUUAAUUUGUGCAGCCUAGGUUCCCAGUUGAUAUUCUUUCUGGUUUCUGAGCAUCAGCCAUGUUUCAUUUAGAAGUACUAUAAGUAGUUCCAUGAUUAUAAGGGAGAAGAAAGACCGACACACUUAACAUAUUAUGACCUUGAUUUGGAAAAUCCUAGAAGACUCUCCAAAAGGAACAUGACUAGUACUUGGAAACAUCAAACAUCGACUACAGGAACCCAGUUUUAGUUCAACGUACUGUUCAACCUGUUUGUAGCCCGCUUUCAUGAGAUACCUUUAAUUGGCUCAGAUGUAAUCUCCUCCUCUGUGCUCUGUUUCCAUGUCAGUUUCUUCAGGAUCGUAUCGACAAUUGACAACUCACCGCUCACGAUGUAGACCAUUAUUAUAACGAAUCCCUUGAAGCACACAGAUCACGUAGAGCUAAUAAUAGCUGGUGCUAGGAUUGUCGGCUUGAAGUGCUUACCAGAACAGAGGAUAGAGACGCGAAUACAUAGUGGAAGAUGAUAGAGGUGGAGUUUAUGUAGAAGAUAGAGGACGCUUCUAUAGAGAUUACGCCGCAAAUGACAAUGGCCGCUCGAUGAAGCAUUCGUAGUCUGAAGAAAAAGAAGCAUCUUAAUACUCGUGAAAUUAUGUGAACAUUCGACAAGCGUAACUGCCGCUAUACCUCGCUUCUAUUGCUUCUUUCUUCAUAACGUUCUCCCCGACCAGAGUAUGCGCUUUAUGUAAAAUACCUAAAUAUAGUAAUACAAAUAUCAGAAACAUCACGGUAGCACAAGUAACAAAUAUAUUGUAAACUCCGCUGCCGAAGAUCAGCCACCAGGACUCGUGUCUCCAUCUCGUACUUUUGUGCGUGAGUUCGGUGGUUAGCACGGCUAAGAUAGGGACACCUGCAUCAUACCAGAUUAUCGUGUUACAGUUCAAGUUCACUCUGGAAUUUAGUUCUUGUUAAAACACGUUUAAAUCUACCGGUAAUAACUGCGAUAACUGUUGGCUGAAAGUGCUGACUGGGUCGAACUUGCGUCAAUCCGGCAUAGAUAAUCAACGCUUCCGAUAUGGGUGCAGACAUGCCGACGAGAAGGAAAGCUUCUAGAGCUAUCGCCACGAUAGCAUACGAGCUCUGAAAUUGAAUGACGCAUUUUGUAUGAACGACACGAAAUUCUUAGGAUGUCGAAGCGUCCCAAGUACCUCGGGCAAAUUGUUGUGCACAGCGUAUAUGAAGACAGCCAUUGCUCCUACUAAAGCACUGCAGCACUGCAGUUUCAAGAAGUUCAACCAAUCUCUAUGUUUCCACCAGAAAGUGCCAAGAAUUAGGGAAGACAAGAAACAUUGAACCAAACAGCUGCCACAUCCGAAUAUGACAAUGAACGUAGUCUGCUCCUUCUUUGCUAACACUACUCUCACCGCGCGUGCUGUUAGAAAAAUCGCAUAGGUCCCGGUGUUAGGACACAAGCAAUGAGUGGUAGCAUCUCCUGGCACAGUGUUGACUAUACAACUAUUUAGAUCCCAGCUGCCCGCAUUUUCCAAAAGACCACAAGACACGUUCCAAGCAUUGGACUGGUUCUGGAUGUGUCUCAUCUGUAGAUCUACCCAUAUUUUGUUGUGUUUAUCCGGACUGAAACCUGGUACCACAACCACGACCACUCGAGAAUUGAUACGAAAUUCGAGAUCAGUACCGUCGCUAUAAGAAUUAAACAUUCGCGUUAAUAAAAUAAACAGUCGCUGCACUCUUCGAGUUA